CCUACGGGAGGCAGCAGUGGGGAAUAUUGCGCAAUGGGCGAAAGCCUGACGCAGCGACGCCGCGUGAGGGAUGAAGGUCUUCGGAUCGUAAACCUCUGUCAGGAGGGAAGAAGUGGUUAUAUGCGAAUAGUGUAUGACUUUGACGGUACCUCCAAAGGAAGCACCGGCUAACUCCGUGCCAGCAGCCGCGGUAAUACGGAGGGUGCGAGCGUUAAUCGGAAUUACUGGGCGUAAAGCGCUCGUAGGCGGUAUGUCAAGUCAAGGGUGAAAUCCCCGCGCUCAACGUGGGAACUGCCUUUGAAACUGGCAAACUGGAGUGUGUGAGAGGAUAGUGGAAUUCCAGGUGUAGGAGUGAAAUCCGUAGAUAUCUGGAGGAACAUCAGUGGCGAAGGCGACUAUCUGGCACAUAACUGACGCUGAGGAGCGAAAGCGUGGGUAGCAAACAGGAUUAGAUACCCGGGUAGUC
rnacentral:rRNA from 1 species